GGGACUCAGUCUUCAAAACGCAUUGUGUAUUUUCUACUUACAAGCCAUCUCAAUUCCAAAUGGCUGCCUUUCAGGUGCUCAAUAGCUGCAUGUGGCUAGAAGCUACUGUACUGGAAAGCUCAGAGCUGAACCACAUGAAAAAUUUUCAAAGGUGAUGGCUGGUAAGUCUUGAACUCCUCACCCACAUUGAGGGUACAAAGAGGAGGAGUUUUGGAGAGAGUUUGUGGAAAGAAUUUCUUCAGAGAAAGCCUUGUUGUGAGUUCUACCCUCCUUCCCCAGAGGGGUGGGAUCGGCAUCUUAAACCUAAACCAGAUGCGAAGGACCACAAAGAGAGGGAGAUGCGGGGGAAAGGAGCUUUGGGAAGAGACGAGGCUGUGCUGCGAGCCCCGAGGGGAGGGGAGGACUGUGGGAUCCCUACCUCUUGCCUCAAUCUUGAAAAAGAGCUUAUAGGGUCCCUUGGAGACCCAUCCCCUCUAGUUUGAGAGAUACAGUCACCUGGUGUUUGAUUUACACCUGAGAAAUCUAAACGUCGAGAGACUGACUGCAGCUGCCUGUGGGAGCCCAGUAGAAGCUGUUGCAUUUGGAAGCUCUGCACUCCCAUCUAUUGGGAUAAAAAUUACAAGGAGGUUUCCUGAGAAUGGACAAGGGAGAAAGCCAGUGAGAGGUCCUGUCCAGGAGGGUCACUGGCCACCGGACCUCAGCAGAGGGAAGAUACAGGUGUCACUCAAAGCCUUGAGCUAAAGAAGGGCAAGUGAUGGCCCUAAGCAGAGAUACAUUGGCCCUCAUCAAGGGGAUAGCAGCUGAGAGAGAACAGGGUCCCCAAAGCACCCAAGAGAGCAAGGUCAGAGCACAGCACUGCUAGAUCUCCAUGUACUGGUCAAAAAAGAAAUUUCUGGUUCCUUUUGACCCAAUUUGCAUUUCGUCUCUGGAGGAGUCAGAAAGGUGGAUAGAAAAUGGGAAAGGAAGAGAUGCAUAGAUGAGGAAAAAGAAGAGUCUACCAUGUCCCUCUGCUCUGAUGAAGGGUUCUGACUGCAAUAGGCUGGAGAGGGCAGCGUGGAAAAGCUUCAUUUUAAAUCCAGUGUAGAGGUUUAAUUAUACAGGGCAGGACAUUUAAAUUACUGAUGUAAAUUAUUGUGUGACUAAAUGUAUUAGGUGAAUGCUGUAAGACUGUACUUCUCACCUGCUUGAUGUCUUGAUCUCAAGUUUCUAGGUUUCCAUUUGCUCCCUCUGUGAUCCCUCCUGCUCCCUGACUCUGGGUGUAGCCUGCUGAAUUGCAACUCUGAUCAAGCCACACUCCUUCUCACAAGCCUGUCGUGUGCAAACCUCCAAAGGCUCUCCAUUGCAUAGAUGAAGAUGCUUCUUACACUCAGUCCAAAGGCAACAUUGUGGUGGAUGUGGUAGGUGGUUGAUGGGGGCAGUGGUGGGAUAAGGAAGAGCAGAGAACACAGUGUCUCAGGUGCACCUGGAGUCCAGACCAGAAAGUCCAGGUAGAGUUUAAAUUUAGCUAGCUUGCAAUGGGGAUCGAUUGCAAUCAAGCAUAUCAGUAAGUGAAAUUGAUCAACUGGAAAUGUUGACAUAUCAUUACAUUGUCAUUGAGUAAAAAUAAACCACUUAACCAUCAAUCAUCAAAUGGCUCCCACCCUCAUGGGAUUUGCAGUUUAUUAGUUGAGAUAUUUGCAGGAAAUUACAAUGAGGUGUGAGGGUUGAUAAGGCCGAGGAAGAGCUGGGUGCUUUGGAUGCCCAUGGCAAGGACACAAUUGUAAGGUCUAAAAUCUUAUACUUUGAGGCUUCCGUCAUUCUGGAUCACAUCUACAACCAUAUAUAGACCUGGAAAGGAAACAAGUGUCAGAGGGCCCUAGCCCCCAAGACAAAUGGAAAAAGAAAUAGCCUUAUUGGGUAGGAACACAAUUAGGAAGGCAAAGGUAAGAAAAGGGCUGAACUGUCCAAGGAUAAAUGGAAAAACAGGAUGAUACAAUUAUGGAAGAAGAAAAGGGACCAAAGAAUUAUAAUUUGCUUCUUAAAUCAUUUAUUGAUCUCCUACAAUGGGUAUAAGACACUCAUAGCUUCCAGAUAAUGGUUAAAAAUGGAGGUCAGUUUGAGGCAACCUUUCUGUGAUGGCUGUGAGAAUGCACCUCUCAGAUUUCUGGAGGCUGGGGAUGUAACUGAUCAGCAGCCCCUUUGCUGAGCCUGGAAAUCCUUCCUGUGCUCUCUGGAGCCAUGCUUCCUAUAGACCGUCCCCAGCAGAUGACAGAACAUUGAGGGGAUAUGAAGGCAGUCUUGUUCCUAGGAGACAGGGGGCCCUUCUUUUUUUUUUUUUUUUCUUUUUUUCUUUUUACCAUUUCUAGGGCUGCUUCUGCAGCAUAUGGAGGUUCCCAGGCUAGGGGUCUAAUUGCAGCUGUAGACGCCGGCCUACACCACAGCCACAGCAGCGUGGGAUCUGAGCCGCGUCUGUGACCUACACCACAGCUCAUGGCAACGCCAAUCCUUAACCCACUGAGCAAGGCCAGGGAUCGAACCCACAACCUCGUGGUUCCUAGUCAGAUUCGUUAACCACUGAGCCACGACGGGAUCUCUGACAGGGGACCCUUCUGAUGGGUGACUUUGGCUUGACAACGCUUGGACAGUGUUUUGCACUCUCCUUGAACUCUCACUGCAGUCCAGAAUGUUUCCACUCAAACUUCCUUCUCUCCUUUACUGAGGGUUAAACGCACGUCCCAGCCUUUCCUAGCACCCUUCCCGCUUUCUUUCACAGAUUCUUCCCUUAGGAAAUUUGUGCGCAUCUAAUAUUGGAAGACCUGGAAUAACACAUCUUCUCAAAAGAGCGUGCCAGAGAAAAUGAAUAGGUGUUUGUUGGAGUCAUCUAUUUACCUAGGAACAGUCGGGAGCUGUCAGGGUGGGUGCAAGAGGGGAGGGGCACAAGCCAGGCCAGGUGGCAUCACACACACCUGGGGCAAAACUUGGCUCUUCCACUUCAGGGUGUGAUGGGGGCAGUUACCUAUUCUUUGCUACCUUUCAUUUCCUCAUCUGUAUAAUGCAAUACUCGUUUUUCCCUCACAGGCUUUUCGUGGGGAUUAACUGAGAUAAUGUAUGUAAAGGCCUUAACACAGUCUCUGGAAAAUAUUUGGGCCGGCUUCUGAGGGCUUCAUCCCCUUUCUCCUUCACACACGCAGCCUCUGUAGGAGAAGGAAGGAAACUCAAGGGCAUUUGGCCCUCUUUCAUAUAAGGAGCCUUGAGGUGCUAUCCUUGUAAUACAGCUUCAGUAAGGCCCUACCUCUCCAGGAAGCCACCUGUGGCUUCCAUAGCCCUGGGAUUGAUGUCUUUUGCUUCUUUCUCUGAUGUCCUCUUAGCAUUCCACUUUUGAUUCUAAUUGUGUGGGACCCGGUGUUGUUUGCAGGGGAUCACUCCAGCCCCUCUUUUCUGGGAACAUCCUCCACAACCAUAACCUGUAAUUCUGAUACACUAUAAUUCUGUCCCUGGAUACAGUCAACUGUCUCAGGGAUGGUACCUUUCUUUUUUUUUAAAUUUUGUUUAUUGAAGUAUAGUUGAUUUACCAUGUUCCUCCAAUUUCUGCUGUAUAGCAAAGUAACCCAGCCACCCAUAUAUCACCCUUAUCCUCCCCAUUUUCCAAGAGACUUGACACAGUUCCUGUGCUAUAUAGCAGGACCCCAUCACCCAUCCACUUUAAAUGUAACAGUCUGCAUCUACUAAUCCCAAACUCCCCAUCAGUGCCCCUUUCUCCUCUCUCUCUCAUGGCAAACAAAAGUCUGCCUUCCAUAUCCAUGAUCUGUUUCUGUUUUGUAGAUAGAUCACUCGUGCCACAUUUUAGACUCCAUUUAUAAGCUAUAUCAUAUGGUGUUUGUCUUUCUCUUUCUGACUUACUUCACUUAGUAUGAGAGUCUCUAGUUCCAUCCAUGUUGCUGCAAAUGGCAUUAUUUUGUCCUUUUUUAUGGCUAAGUAGUAUUCCAUUGUAUAUAUUUACUACAUCUUAAUCCAUUCAUCUGUCCAUGGACAUUUGGGUUGUUUCCAUGCUUUUGGCUAUUGUGACUAGUGCUGCAAUGAACAUAGGGGUGCAUGUAGCUUUGUAAAUGAAAAUUUUGUCUGUAUAUAUGCCCAGGAGUGGGAUUGCUGGAUCAUAUGGUAAUUCUAUAUUUAGUUUACUGAGGUUCUCCAUACUGUUUUCCAUAGUGGUUGUACCAAUUUACAUUCCCACCAACAGUGAAGGAGGCUUCCCUUUUCUCCACACCCUCUCCAGCAUUUGUUGUUUGCUGACUUGUUAAUGAUGGCCACUCCAGCUGCUGUGAGGUGGUAGGCACCUGUCUUGAAAUAAGGCAUUAAUGCCUUCCCUCAGAAUUUUAGCUUCAGAACGAGGAAUGUCAGACUUAUCUCUCUCUCUCUAGGGGCAACUGAGGUUAUCUGAAGCUACUGGCAGCCCAGCCAUAUGUUCUACUGUGUGUGUGUGUGUGUGUGUGUGUGUAUAGCCAGGCUACAAGGAGAUGAAAGAACAUUGCUGUCGUGCGAGAGAGGGAGAUAAAGAGAAGGAUAAAGAUCCAUCUGUACGCAAGUCCCGGGUUCUGUUUAUUCUUCAGAUUCUAUGGGGCAUCUCAACAUUCUCCUAAUCCUUGCUUAAGCUAGUUUGAUUAGGGCAUCUGUCGCUUAUAGCCCAAAGAGUAAUAAAGGUGUGUCAUUGUUCCAUGUGUCUACCCGGCCUUUCCACCUUGACCCUGAGCCUCCCAGGACAGAGACUACACCCCUCCCUCUGCUUCUGCCCCCCUGUGCCCAGAAUACUGCUUGGUCCAUGCAGCUGUUCCAGACAGAUGUGUGGUUGACUACAAGGCUAAAUCAAAUAUUCUGCUCAUGGCAGGUUUCUAUAUAUUCCACGUAUGAUGUCACAGGACCACUUUAAUCUAUGCUCUAAAUGCUGGUUUAAAUGUGCUAAAAAUGUCUUGUGGCGAGGACUUUGGAAGCUGGUGGAAAAGAGCUCCUGGCAGGUAUUUUGCAUGAGGCACGAUGGAGUUUCAGGUUAACAGGUGUUGCUGGGAGAAUCACUGUAUUUAAAAUGAAGCUGUGGAGUUCCCAUCAUGGCUCAGUGGAAAUGAAUCUGACUAGCAUCCAUGAGGAUCCAGGUUCGAUCCCUAGCCUUGCUUGGUGGGUUAAGGAUCCUGCAUUGCUGUGGCUGUGGUGUAGCCCAGUGGCNGGGUUUUGCCCAAAAAAAAAAAAAAAAAAAAAAAAAAAAA
rnacentral:lncRNA from 1 species